rnacentral:tRNA from 1 species
UGGGAUGUAGAGAAACGGUUAUCUCGUAAGCCUCAUAAGCUUAAAAUAGUUGGUUCGACUCCAACCACCCCAA